rnacentral:rRNA from 1 species
AGAGUUUGAUCCUGGCUCAGGACGAACGCUGGCGGCGUGCCUAACACAUGCAAGUCGAACGGACUAAUUCUUAACACUGAGUUCUUAGUAAGGAGCCAGCGAGAGCGCGAACGUAGUGAAACGAAGAGAGCGCUCCACGCAUUAUAAAGUGCCAACACACUUAUCUAAGGAGAACUUCGGACUAAGGGUUGAGUGUUAAGAAUUAGUUAGUG